CGCCUGUUUAACAAAAACAUUUCUUUUAGAUUUUUUUAAAAGUACUUUAUGCCCUAUGGUAUUUCUAAAUGGCUGCAGUAUUUUGACUGUGCAAAGGUAGCAUAAUAAUUAGUUUUUUAAUUGAAGGCUAGUAUGAAUGGAAAAUUGAGAUACAGAUUUUAUUUGGUUUAGUAUUAAAAUUUAAAUUUUGGGUUAAAAUUCUCAAUUAUUUUCUUGGGACGAGAAGACCCUAUAGAACUUUAUUUAAUUAAUUUUUAAUUAAUUUUUAAUUUAAUAUAUUUAAUUAAUUGUAAUGAAUUUUACUGGGGUGGUAAAUAAAUUUGAAACUUUAUUAAUAAAAAUCAUUUAUUAUUGUUUUUAAUGAUCUCUAUCUAGAAAUUAAGAAUAAGUUACCUUAGGGAUAACAGCGUAAUUUUAAUGGUAAGUUCAUAUUUAUAUUAUUUUUUGCGACCUCGAUGUUGAAUUAAGGUUGAUUUUGAGAAGCAGUAUUCUUGAAGUUAAUCUGUUCGACUUUUAAAUCCUUACUUGAUCUGAGUUCAGACCGG
rnacentral:rRNA from 1 species